GACUAGUGACAGAAAGAGGGAGGGACUAGUGACAGAGUGAGGGAGGUGGUGACUAGUGACAGAGUGAGGGAGGUGGAGACUAGUGACAGUCACCACCUCCCUCACUCUGUCACUAGUCACCCCUUCCUUUCCUCACUCU